rnacentral:rRNA from 1 species
UACGGAGGGAGCGAGCGUUGUCCGAAGUUACUGGGCGUAAAGCGCGCGUAGGCGGGGGAUUAAGUGAGAAGUGAAAGGCUGAGGCUCAACCUCAUGCAGUGCUUCUCAUACUGGUCCUCUUGAGGGUGGUAGAGAGAAGUGGAAUGGCUGGUGUAGCGGUGAAAUGCGUAGAUAUCGUAAGGAAGACCAGUGGCGAAGGCGGGUCU